rnacentral:rRNA from 1 species
GACGAACCGUCCAAACGUUAUUCGGAAUCACUGGGCUUACAGAGUUCGUAGGCGGUCUGGAAAGUUGGGUGUGAAAUCCCUCGGCUCAACCGAGGAACUGCGCUUGAAACUACCAGACUCGAGGGAGAUAGAGGAAAGCGGAACUGAUGGUGGAGCGGUGAAAUGCGUUGAUAUCAUCAGGAACACCGGUGGCGAAGGCGGUUCUCUGGGCAUGUCCUGACGCUGAGGAGCGAAAGUGUGGGGAGCGAACAGG